AACGAACGCUGGCGGCAGGCUUAACACAUGCAAGUCGAGCGCCCCGCAAGGGGAGCGGCAGACGGGUGAGUAACGCGUGGGAAUCUACCUAUUGCUACGGAAUAACUCAGGGAAACUUGUGCUAAUACCGUAUGUGCCCUUCGGGGGAAAGAUUUAUCGGCAAGAGAUGAGCCCGCGUUGGAUUAGCUAGUUGGUGGGGUAAAGGCCUACCACGGCGACGAUCCAUAGCUGGUCUGAGAGGAUGAUCAGCAACCCUGGGACUGAGACACGGCCCAGACUCCUACGGGAGGCAGCAGUGGGGAAUAUUGGACAAUGGGCGCAAGCCUGAUCCAGCCAUGCCGCGUGAGUGAUGACGGUCUUAGGAUUGUAAAGCUCUUUCACCGGGGAAGAUAAUGACGGUAACCGGAGAAGAAGCCCCGGCUAACUUCGUGCCAGCCGCCGCGGUAAUAC
rnacentral:rRNA from 1 species